rnacentral:rRNA from 1 species
CACGUAGGGUCCGAGCGUUGUUCGGAAUUAUUGGACGUAAAGGGCUCGUAGGCGGUUCGUCACGUCGGGAGUGAAAACUCGGAGCUUAACUCCGAGCCUGCUUCCGAUACGGGCAGACUAGAGGUAGGCAGGGGAGAGCGGAACUCCUGGUGUAGCGGUGGAAUGCGCAGAUAUCAGGAAGAACACCGGUGGCGAAGGCGGCUCUCUGGGCCUUACCUGACGCUGAGGAGCGAAAGCUGGGGGAGCGAACAGG